rnacentral:rRNA from 1 species
AUUGAACGCUGGCGGCAUGCCUUACACAUGCAAGUCGAACGGCAGCGCGGAGGCAACCCUGGCGGCGAGUGGCGAACGGGUGAGUAAUAUAUCGGAACGUACCCUAGAGUGGGGGAGUAACGUAGCGAAAGUUACGCUAAUACCGCAUACGAUCUACGGAUGAAAGACGGGGGAGUCGCAAGACCUCGCGCUCAUGGAGCGGCCGAUAUCUGAUUAGCUAGUUGGAGGGUAAAAGACCUACCAAGGCAUCGAUCAGUAGCUGGUCUGAGAGGACGACCAGCCACACUGGGACUGAGACACGGCCCAGACUCCUACGGGAGGCAGCAGUGGGGAAUUUUGGACAAUGGGGGCAACCCUGAUCCAGCAAUGCCGCGUGAGUGAAGAAGGCCUU